GACGAACGCUGGCGGCGUGCUUAACACAUGCAAGUCGAACGGAAAGGCCCUGCUUUUGUGGGGUGCUCGAGUGGCGAACGGGUGAGUAACACGUGAGUAACCUGCCCUUGACUUUGGGAUAACUUCAGGAAACUGGGGCUAAUACCGGAUAGGAGCUCCUGCUGCAUGUUGGGGGUUGGAAAGUUUCGGCGGUUGGGGAUGGACUCGCGGCUUAUCAGCUUGUUGGUGGGGUAGUUGCUUACCAAGGCUUUGACGGGUAGCCGGCCAGAGAGGGUGACCGGCCACCACGGGAGUGGGAUAUGGUCCAGACUACAACGGGAGGGAGCAGUGGGGAAUAUUGCACAAUGGGCGGAAGCAUGACGCAGCAACCCCGCGUGCUGGAUGAAGGCCUUCGGGUUGUAAACCGCUUUCGCCUGUGACGAAGCGUGAGUGACGGUAAUGGGUAAAGAAGCACCGGCUAACUACGUG
rnacentral:rRNA from 1 species